rnacentral:rRNA from 1 species
UGGGGAAUUUUGGACAAUGGGCGAAAGCCUGAUCCAGCAAUGCCGCGUGUGUGAAGAAGGCCUUCGGGUUGUAAAGCACUUUUGUCCGGAAAGAAAUCCUUGGCUCUAAUACAGUCGGGGGAUGACGGUACCGGAAGAAUAAGCACCGGCUAACUACGUGCCAGCAGCCGCGGUAAUACGUAGGGUGCAAGCGUUAAUCGGAAUUACUGGGCGUAAAGCGUGCGCAGGCGGUUUGCUAAGACCGAUGUGAAAUCCCGGGCUCAACCUGGGAACUGCAUUGGUGACUGGCAGGCUAGAGUAUGGCAGAGGGGGGUAGAAUUCCACGUGUAGCAGUGAAAUGCGUAGAGAUGUGGAGGAAUACCGAUGGCGAAGGCAGCCCCCUGGGCCAAUACUGACGCUCAUGCACGAAAGCGUGGGGGAGCAAAACAGGAUUAGAUACCCUGGUAGUCCACGCCCUAAACGAUGUCAACUAGUUGUUGGGGAUUCAUUUCCUUAGUAACGUAGCUAACGCGUGAAGUUGACCGCCUGGGGAGUACGGUCGCAAGAUUAAAACUCAAAUGAAUUGACGGGGUCAUAGCUGUUUCCU